UACGUAGGGACCAAGCGUUGUUCGGAUUUACUGGGCGUAAAGGGCGCGUAGGCGGCGCGGUAAGUCACUUGUGAAAUCUCUGAGCUUAACUCAGAACGGCCAAGUGAUACUGCAGUGCUAGAGUGUGGAAGGGGCAAUCGGAAUUCUUGGUGUAGCGGUGAAAUGCGUAGAUAUCAAGAGGAACACCUGAGGUGAAGACGGGUUGCUGGGCUGACACUGACGCUGAUGCGCGAAAGCCAGGGGAGCAAACGGG
rnacentral:rRNA from 1 species